GCCUACUGCUUGCAGAGGUGUGUGUCACACAUUGCCAUGUGCCGACUCUGGAAAAGCCAGGACUUGUCUAUUGUUUGGCUGAUGGACAGAACAGACUGUGGCCAUGUUAUGGUCUGGCAAUAAGAAGAAUGAAACACUCACACUUGACAAGUUCAGGACCAGGUAAUGAAUGGCGGGCGGCCUCAGGGCACUCGAUCUAUAUGAACCCAUCUACAUGACUCCAUGACAGGCUCCAGGCUCACUGACAGAAAAUCAGGUUUGUGGGUACAAGAGACUUGGGGGAAACUGCAAAGGGGCCAUGGCUUCUCUUGUUGUUUGGUUGGUUUGUGUGGAGGUCAGAGGACAGCUUUCAGGAGUCGGUUCUCUCUUCCAGUUAUGUGGGUCCCAGGGUUAAACUUGGGCUGUAAA
rnacentral:lncRNA from 1 species